CAGCCGCCGCGGUAAUACGGAGGGUGCGAGCGUUAAUCGGAAUAACUGGGCGUAAAGGGCACGCAGGCGGUGACUUAAGUGAGGUGUGAAAGCCCCGGGCUUAACCUGGGAAUUGCAUUUCAUACUGGGUCGCUAGAGUACUUUAGGGAGGGGUAGAAUUCCACGUGUAGCGGUGAAAUGCGUAGAGAUGUGGAGGAAUACCGAAGGCGAAGGCAGCCCCUUGGGAAUGUACUGACGCUCAUGUGCGAAAGCGUAGGGAGCAAACAGGAUUAGAUACCCCUGUAGUCCCUGUCUCUUAUAC
rnacentral:rRNA from 1 species